CUUAAAUCACCACGGUGACCUUUUCUUUUCCCCUCUGUCAUCUAUCAAUCAUCAGACUGCUCCCUCUGUGCUACGCUGCUCCUCUCUUCACCUUUACAAACACUAAAGAAGCCAAGCUGAGAAACCUCUGCCACAGCUGGCUUUGAAGUACUGCAGUCACUCGUCAGGGUCACGGGUACGAUUCCCAUUCAUGGAAAACUGUCCAGAAGAGUUCUUGAAGUCAAACAGAAGAAUAUGUUCCGCCUCACUGACAUAUCACUGUAUGUUAAAGCCUUUUAUAGCGUGUUGGAAACACCGACUGCCUGCCUACUCCAGCGAGGAACCACGUGCAGAUGAAACCAGUGCUUUCCCGCUCUACCCUGAACAGGCAAACAUACAUUUAUGGUUUUUCUCCCUCUUUUCUGCUAUGAAGCAAAAAAUUUCAAAACACCAGAGUAAAGAUUCCUCCAAGUUUCAGGAGACGACCUGACAAACCCUCACCCGGGCUUCUCUCCGCUGGCCCUCCGAGGAGGAACUGUAUCGGACAGCCAGGGUGGGUGCUGAGUCAAACAAGCCCCCACAGAGACCACACAGCCACCAUCUCAGCUCCCGUAUGUUACAGUAGAAGGUCAGUAAACAGUAUCAUUUUACUAAUCAACUUUAGUGUGCACAACCCUGUGAAAACCAAAAAAACACCUCCUGACCUGAAGGCCUGCAUAUCUGCUUGUAUGCAUGCGUGCAAACAGUCAGACCAGCAUUUCCAGGUAGAAAUUUAUAACUAAUAGCAGCAGGAAAAGUGGUCAAGAGGAGAUGAAAGGAGAUGAAAGGAGAGAGACACUAAGCCUCUAAAAUCGACAUCACCUGUAUCCAGCUACUUUCUCUUUGCAGAUAGAAAGGAGACAGAAGUCUACAUUAGGAGGCUGGAAGAGAUAUAACAACACAAGUCAGAGGAAGUGAAAGAGUCUGUGACGUACCGUUAUUUAUUUUGUUCCAUUUCCAGUUUUUGUUUCUUUUGUUUCUUUACUUUAUUAAAGUCUCAUUUCGGUAAAGCUGAAAAGCUCUUACACCCCUUCACGAAUGCAGAAUCCACAUCUUUAAGGCUUCUACAAAACAAUGCAAUAUAACAUUUGGUGACGCGCGACACCCAAAGUCUUACUGCCAACGCAGAAAACACGAAACCAUAUCUGCGCUGCUCACUCAACCGUAUGCUUCCAUUAAUAACAAUGACAAUAAGCAAACCACUUGCAGACAUCA